UUCAGUGGCUUUGAUGUCCACCUUUAGGGCACAUACUUCUUUAUAUGCCCAUACUGAAUGAAAAUGCUAUGGAAUGUUAAGAAGUAUGUAACCUAAGGGGUUGCCUUUUCAUCUGCGCCAC
rnacentral:pre_miRNA from 14 species